rnacentral:tRNA from 1 species
GCGGGCGUGGCGGAAUUGGUAGACGCAACGGACUUAAAAUCCGUAGGGCCGCAAGGCCCGUGUCGGUUCGACCCCGACCGCCCGCACCA